UAACGCGUGGGUAACCUGCCUCAUACAGGGGGAUAGCAGCUGGAAACGGCUGGUAAUACCGCAUAAGCGCACGGUAUCGCAUGAUACAGUGUGAAAAACUCCGGUGGUAUGAGAUGGACCCGCGUCUGAUUAGCUGGUUGGUGAGGUAACGGCCCACCAAGGCGACGAUCAGUAGCCGACCUGAGAGGGUGACCGGCCACAUUGGGACUGAGACACGGCCCAG
rnacentral:rRNA from 1 species